rnacentral:rRNA from 1 species
GAUGAACGCUGGCGGCGUGCCUAAUACAUGCAAGUCGAGCGAACAGAUGGGGAGCUUGCUCCUCUGACGUUAGCGGCGGACGGGUGAGUAACACGUGGAUAACCUACCUAUAAGACUGGGAUAACUUCGGGAAACCGGAGCUAAUACCGGAUAAUAUAUUGAACCGCAUGGUUCAAUAGUGAAAGACGGUUUUGCUGUCACUUAUAGAUGGAUCCGCGCCGCAUUAGCUAGUUGGUAAGGUAACGGCUUACCGAGGCAACGAUGCGUAGCCGACCUGAGAGGGUGAUCGGCCACACUGGAACUGAGACACGGUCCAGACUCCUACGGGAGGCAGCAGUAGGGAAUCUUCCGCAAUGGGCGAAAGCCUGACGGAGCAACGCCGCGUGAGUGAUGAAGGUCUUCGGAUCGUAAAACUCUGUUAUUAGGGAAGAACAAAUGUGUAAGUAACUAUGCACGUCUUGACGGUACCUAAUCAGAAAGCCACGGCUAACUACGUG